GUUUCCAUAGAGAGGCCUCUCCGGUGUCACAUGAUGGACAUGAUAUAAUGAAACAACAUUGUGGAGAGGAAAGCAUUAGGGGAGCCCACGGCUACAAAAACAAGUGAGUGAGAAGAGGUGGGAGGAAGAGAAACUACGCCACCUCCCCUGCAGCCGAGCCGCACGCAGCAGCAGCCCGCGGGAAGUGGGCGACGCCGGGGGGAAGGGAGACCUGGUCCCCAGCCCCGGCUGGGGGACCCCGCCGCCCACCGCCAAGAGAAUAACUUUUAGCCGGCAGCCUCGGCCAGCAGUGCACCUGUCUCCGGAGCCUCCAUCGCUCCUCGUGAUGAUCAAAGGGGAAUUCUAGAAGAAUAUGCUCUACAAAUAUACAUGCGCAUCAUUUUCCCCCUUGCGUCUCGCUCUGGAGGAAGGACACAGAAAGGGAUUCAAGCAGCAGCGUGUGUUCAGCCCCAAGCACCAGCAAGCCUCCCUGGAAUGGAUCUUCUGCUCAGUUCUUGGAUUGAGGGAUGAAGUAUGAUUUUACUUCACUUGUUUUCAGGGACUGUUAACUGGUGAAGAGAGUUUGGGAUAUUUUACCAUUUGGAGUUUCUCUGCCUCGCCGAUGAUCUAAGUUCAAACCUGCCAGCUUAUGGGAUAGAAAACGUGCCAUAGCAGCCGAGUAAGUAGCUGCUGCAGUGUGUUUUGAUUUACUGCUUUAAAAAAAAAGAAAAAGGGAAGAUUUUAUAACUUGGAAGUUUUAAGCUAUUGGAUAUUUUAACUGGGUUCUUUAAAUUUUGUUGUUGAAUAAUGAUGGCAAUUGUUAUAAUUCCAAUAAGUGAAUAUUUUUAGAUAAUGGGAUUCUGGAAGAAAUUAAUCGCCUGAUGAUUAAAAAAAAGUUAAUGAAAACAUUUUCCAUGAAUAUUAGUUUAGCUGCUUUUAAGAAACAUGUUGUGGACCUAAAUGAAUAUAUUAAAAAUUUAAGAGCAGUCUCCUUAGUGCUUUAUUUCACUUUUAUAUUAUGAAUGCAAAAAUAUUGGUAGGAAAACUGUUAAGAAGUUUUUAAAUGGAACUAUAUCUAUGUAAAAAUUGUACUUUAACACGGAAUGUAUUUUGGCUAACUUGAAAUAAAUACUGGUUUGUUUCUUGGAAACAGAAUUUUAAAAGUUUUCUAUUUGAAAAUAAUAGUUCUGGGGCUUCCUAGGUGGCGCAGUAGUUAAGAAUCCGCCUGCCAAUGCAGAGGACACGGGUUCAAUCCCUGCUCCAGGAAGAUCCCACGUGCCGCAGAGCAACUAAGCCCAUGUGCCCAAAAAAAAAAAAAAAGAAAAUAAUAGUUUUUCUCCCUGCCAAUAUAGGUAAGAUUACAAAAUCUCUCUGGAUUUGACUUUGUUUCUUAAUUAAAGAGACUAAGAAAGAAGGGCAUUCAUUCUUUCUAAUCAAAACUUCUGAGUGAAAUUGAAAGAGUUGAGUCAAUUAUUUUUGAUAUAAACUGUUUUUUAGAAUGAAAGCUACUAGUUUUCUUGUUAUAUCCGUUGAAUCUGUUUUGACAAAACUAGGAAACUAUGAGGCUGUACCAGGGCCCUUUUUGGAAUGCUAAGGUGAAUACAGUUGAUAAGUACACAAGGUGCCCCCCAGUAUAAUGGGUUAUUUAAUUUUGGUCUGUAUCUGACCUGUCCAGUAUGGUGGCCAGUGGCCACAUGGAGCUAUAGACAUCUGAAAUGUGGCUGGU